rnacentral:lncRNA from 1 species
AGUCACAGCAUUCCAGCCUGGGCUACAAAGCAAGACUGCGUGUCAGAAAAAGAAAAGAAAAAUGGAUUCAAAGAUUUAUCACUGUUAAGUUCCACCAGCAAAUUAUUAAAUGUGGUUCCAAAGGGAUAUUUAAAAAGGGAAAUUAAAAUUGUUUCCAAGAAAGCCCUAUUCACAGCAGAAACGUAGACACUGUACCUGACCUCACCACACAAAGUUCCCUCAUGUGUUGGGAGGGACCAAGGGGCUCUCUGGUCCUGCACCUGCGUUAAUUAUGGCCGGGAGGUCCGCAGUAGGACCCUAAGGGCUAGGAACCAGCCUGGGUCAGGGGCAGAGAAGUGGUGGAUGUGGCUCCCAAAGUGGCUUAGGGGUUCCCUUCCCUGUGGCUGUUUCCUGACUGGAUGCAGCAGGGUCAGGCCUUUCAGUGUGACGUUUUCUACUCUUUAUUAGAGUGGCAGGAGCGUCCCUGUGCGAGGCCUGACCCAGGUGUGGGCCUUGCAGCCAGCUCGGGGUCCAAGGGGCACUCCUGCGGUGCUGCAAAGGAGGAUUUGUGACAACCCAGAGGAUGGAGGAAACGGCGGCUUUGAAAAGGCAAGUGCCAAGUUAUCAGGGAUCGCUUAUAUCCAUUUCUGGCAGUGAACUGACAAUUUCAGACACUCAGGAGGGAGCUUCCCGCGUGGGAUCACAAAAAGUCCGAGAAGUGUCAGACAUCUGGCCAUUAACCCCAUUCCUACGCAGGGACUACACUGCCGCUUGUCCGAAGGGGCGUGUCAGGGGCGGAGCGAGGAUGAGGGGCGGUGCCAAUAAAAGAGGCGGGGGAGAAGGGGCGGUGCUGAGGGGAGAGGCCGGGCCAAGGGAAGAAGCGUGCGAGAAAGGGUGGGGCGAGUCCAGCUACAGGAAGAGUAGCGUUACUAUGGCAACCCUGACAGGUUUGUGAGCAGCCCCCGGUCCCCUGCCGCUCCGUGAGAAAUCAAACUUCAGGCACUGACGAAGCAUGAAGCCAGCAUCUUAGGAAGAGGUAGUGACAUAAUUACAAGAGAAAUUAAUGUUAUGACUGGAUGAAGACAAUUGUGAAGAAACUGCACUUUGAGGUUGUCUAUCUCUGUAUUCUGAUGGAAAAGCGUGGAGUUUAGAAGCACUGCUCACUCCUUCAGUUUCUAACAAGUUUGAGACUAUGGUUAGGUGGUGAGGAAGGCAGGCUCAGCACCCAAGCCUUGGGGAGACGCAGAAAGGGCCCAUCCCAGGCACUCAGGUGGAGAAAUUCACUGGUAUAGGUUUCCCUCAAAACACUGCUUUCACCAGUUUCCGUAAGUUUUACGUUUUGGUUACAUUGUCAUUUAUGUUAAAACACUUUCUGAUAAGUAUUUGUGGUUUUCUUUUGAUCCAUAAAUUAUUUGGGAUUUUGCCAUUUAAUGUCCACAUACUUAAGAGUCUCCUAAAUUUCUUGCUUUCAUUGAUCUCUGAUUCUAUUAUGAUUAGAAAUCACCCAUUGUAUUAUCUCAAUCUCUAUUUUUACUGAUGUUUUAUGGCCCAGCAGGUGGUCUGUCCUAGAGAACGUUCCAUGUGGAUUUGAGAAGAAUAUAUAUUCUCAUGUUGGAUGCAGUGCUGUGCAUAUGUUUGUUAGGUUUAGUUGUUUUAUGUUGUUGUUCAUGUUUUCUAUUUUUUAUCUUCUGUCUACUUGUUCUAUCCAUUAAUAUAAGUGAAGCAUUAAAGUCUCCAACUAUUACUGUUGAAUUA